UGGGUCCUCGCUUUUACAUCUUAAAUUUCAGGUAGACAGGCUAUGGGCCAAUUCUAACACUUCCUCGUACGUGAGACCCCAUUUUAUCGGUCACAUGUGAAGUUCCACACAUCGGCAACCACAUGGAGCCAAAAAGAGAAGUAGACUAUCAAAAGCGGAUUUAAGGCUAGCUUCUUCCUGAGUUCUAGUUCAGUUCCUCGGAUUGAGAUAGAGAGCCUACCGAGCUAAGGCUUUUCCAAGUUCUGAUACCAUUUUAAAUUUCAGGUAGGCGGGCCAUGAGUUCACUCAAACAACACCGAUAUUGUCCCCACUUAGCCACCUGCUCAAUCUAUUAGGUCGACCUGGAGAUCCACAACCUCUCCUCAUUGACGUCUCAGACGUGGACGGUUCACUCGUCAGCUCGUUUGCCGAGGACAACAUGUUUUCAAUUUCAGGUCCCUUUAUUGCCCUCUGCUCCGCACACGUCAAUGACCUCGCCCAUCGAGCCCAAACUCGUACGUAUUGUCGAUCUUCAUACCUCAACCCUGCCGACUCGCCUAAACUUGUAAUCUCUCCGCCACUUCUGGCUCUCGGAGUCUGCAACUCAGGUAGAGAUAGCAAUUACUGAGGCUCAAGCAUUACCAAGAGCAUGUCACUCUUAAAAAACAUGUUUGGAGGUGUUCAAGAAAAUGUGAAGUCUUUUACGUGGCAAUUUCCUUCAAAUUUGGUGUCUGUUUCAUACUUUGACGGAUAGUUUCAUAUUUUUUAGUAUAGUUCAUUGGUUUUAGACCUGAUGUUUUUUAAUAUGUGAUUAGUUAUGGAAGACUACAGCAAACAUGCAAUUUUGUGUAGUCUAUUAACUGUAUGGGUGCCCAGAUUAAUGGGCCCUUUAAAAAAAAAAACAUAUUACAAUAUGAACACCGAUGUAUAAAAAUUAUAUAAUAUUUCAAAGGUGUAAUUAUUCAUUGUACCA